rnacentral:rRNA from 1 species
GGAGUUAGCCGGUGCUUCUUCUGUGAGUGAUGUCCUUCCUGCCGGCUAUUAACCCGCAGGCCUUCUUCCUCACUGAAAGUGCUUUACAACCCGAAGGCCUUCUUCACACACGCGGCAUGGCUGGAUCAGGGUUGCCCCCAUUGUCCAAUAUUCCCCACUGCUGCCUCCCGUAGGAGUCUGGGCCGUGUCUCAGUCCCAGUGUGUCUGAUCAUCCUCUCAGACCAGCUACGGAUCGUCGCCUUGGUGAGCCGUUACCUCACCAACCAGCUAAUCCGACAUAGGCUCAUCCGAUAGCGCGAGGCCCGAAGGUCCCCCGCUUUCCCCCGUAGGGCGUAUGCGGUAUUAGCCUGGGUUUCCCCAGGUUAUCCCCCGACUACCGGGGCAGAUUCCUAUGCAUUACUCACCCGUCCGCCGCUCGCCACCAGGGAGCAAGCUCCCCGUGCUGCCGCUCGACUUGCAUGUGUUAGGCCUGCCGCCAGCGUUCAAUCUGAGCCAGGAUCAAACUCUGA